GCACGCAAUGUGUGCAGCAGUGUCACAAGAGGAAAAUUCAACUGAGAAGAGCCAAGCGGUAGGAUUAGCUCCUUAUGAAUACACAAGUUCAUGCAAUUUUUUGGACAUAGGUGGCCUAGCGCAAAGCCUGAUACUGUUCAUGUGAUAAACAGGCAACAGGGAGCAAAAGAAAAAAAUGAAAUGCUGCAGAUCCUUGUGGCUGUGCUUACUGCAGAAGAAAAACUGCAAGCUUUUCCAGUCAGAAGCGUGCAGCUAGUUCUCACGUGCACUUUCAGGGAGUCUUUAGUGGAGAAGAGAUCCUCUAGUAACGUGGCCAGCGAAUAUUAGUCAUCAGAAAUAGCGAACAACCAAACAAAAAGCAGCCAAACCCUUAGUUUGUGCCUUCCUCUGCCACGAUUUAAGCAUGGUAACUUUACAAGUGGCCAAAGUUAAGAAGUACAGUCAGCAAAGGUGGUAUGAAAUGUUAAAGGCCAUUGAAGCCCAACUCCAUAUCUCUUUGGGUUUUCUUACAACCCCUGAUUUUCUUCCUGCACUUUCACAAAGGCUUAGAAGCCCAGGAAACAAUUCAAGUCCCUGACAAUGUCAGACAUGAAGUCUUCACCAAGUAUUUGACUUAAGAAUGAAUUGCCAUCAGCAUUCUGUAGUGAUUUAAACGACCAUUAAGCGAGCAGGUUGGGAAAGUGGCUUAAAGUUGGGUUGAGACCUGAGGUCAAAGUCUAUGCUGAGAAGUGCACGUCACACGGGAAUUUCCUUCAUGAGAACCUUUGGGUUGCAGAAACCUAGCACUUCUCCUGUGCUUCUUCCUCCCCCAUGAAAUACUGCAGACCACUCAAAUCCUGAUUAAAGAUUUGUCCCAAAACAAAGAAAGCAAAUAAACAAGUCCUAACAAGUCAGCAACGCAGACAGAAGCUCAGUCUGAAGUACAAGCUAUGUCUUGAGGUUCCUGUUGUACUGGCAGGGUGCGAUGGAGCUGCCCACGCACAAGGGCUCUGUGAAGCUCCUCAUGAAGACAUGGGAGUCCACCAGCGCUCUGACACUCACCCUGGCCUUCCAGUGCCUGCCAGCCCCACGGUUCCUGACACUAGAGAAAACCAGCUGUGGCAACACCAAGGAGGACGUCUUUGUAGAAAGCGUGAGGGCAGACGUGACCAAGGCAGAGCCCCUGGGCGGCCCUUGCCAGACUGAGACCUUCCCCAUCACUGUCAAGGAGCUGCAGAGCCAGUUUGAGGGCCUCGGUGGCAGGAAGGAAAGUGGCAGAAGCUCACUGCCACCAGCACUGACCACUCAGCCUGGGAGCCAGACAGACAUUUAUCUGAUGGAAAUGUCCAGCGUGGAACGGGGGAGGGCAAUCUUUGAGAAGAUGUCCUCAAGCAAUGGAAAGACCAUCAACGCUGAAGUGGGUGCUUGCAAAGCUGUAGGCGGACUUCCAGAAGAGAACCCUCCCAACACUGGAAACACACUGAUGGACUUCAGGAGAAUGUCUCCUUGA
rnacentral:lncRNA from 1 species